rnacentral:rRNA from 1 species
UACGUAGGGUGCGAGCGUUAAUCGGAAUUACUGGGCGUAAAGCGUGCGCAGGCGGUUGUGUAAGACAGAUGUGAAAUCCCCGGGCUCAACCUGGGAACUGCAUUUGAGACUGCCCUGCUCGGGUGCGGAAGAGGGAAGCGGAAUUUCCGGUGUAGCGGUGAAAUGCGUAGAUAUCGGAAGGAACACCAGUGGCGAAAGCGGUUACCUGGACAGUUACUGACGCUCAGGCACGAAAGCGUGGGGAGCAAAAGGG